CUUCAUUCCAGACACCGAGGUUUGAUCAUCUGACCUUCCUUCUCUGACGCAAGCAGCCUGUUUCAUCAUGAAGAUUUCGAUCUUCUGUUUUCUUCUUCCUGCUAUUCUUUGGGCAAGUGACAGCAAUUCACUCUUCAAAGCUCUCGAUCUUGAUGGCAACGGUAUUCUGCAGCGGAAUGAAGCGAUGGAUUACUUUACCCAAAAGGACACAAAUGAUGAUGGAGAAAUCUCACCUGAAGAGUACAAAAUGAAAAUCGUGGGAAUUUGGCAUGAUUGACGAACUGCAGGCCUUAAAUGAAUAAUACGCCUAAUGUAAACUGUACACGCAAGAACCUAAAAAUAAAAUUUCACAUUCUCCAAG